rnacentral:rRNA from 1 species
UACGAAGGGGGCUAGCGUUGUUCGGAAUUACUGGGCGUAAAGGGCGCGUAGGCUGUGCUGUAAGUCAGGCGUGAAAGGCCCGGGCUCAACCUGGGAACUGCGUUUGAUACUGCGGCGCUGGAAUGCAGGAGAGGAUGGCGGAAUUCCCAGUGUAGAGGUGAAAUUCGUAGAUAUCUGGAGGAACACCGGUGGCGAAGGCGGCAUCCUGGACCAAUUCUGACACUGAGGAGCGAAAGCCAGGGGAGCAAACGGG